UACGUAGGUGGCAAGCGUUGUCCGGAAUUAUUGGGCGUAAAGCGCGCGCAGGCGGUCCUUUAAGUCUGAUGUGAAAGCCCACGGCUCAACCGUGGAGGGUCAUUGGAUACUGCUGGGCUAGAGUGCGGAAGAGGCGAGUGGAAUUCCUGGUGUAUCGGUGAAAUGCGCAGAUAUCAGGAAGAACACCUAUGGCGAAGGCGGUGGUCUGGGCCGGCACUGACGCUGAGGAGCGAAAGCGUGGGUAGCAAACAGG
rnacentral:rRNA from 1 species